rnacentral:lncRNA from 1 species
AACACUUAUCAUUUUAUAUUACUUUAAUAACUAGGAACAUUUUGAUAAUCUUCAAUUUCUACCAAUUAAACAAUUUUUUUAAAACUAUCAUAUCAAUCAAAUCUUACACUAAUUCUCAUAAACUUUACUUCUAAGUUCACUCUCAAUUACCUCCAAAUCCACUCAAGUAAACACAACAAUAUUUCUCCUCAAAUCCAUUCAAUCACUCUCCUC